GACGAACGCUGGCGGCGUGCUUAACACAUGCAAGUCGAGCGGUAAGGCCCCUUCGGGGGUACACGAGCGGCGAACGGGUGAGUAACACGUGGGUGACCUGCCCUCAGCUCUGGGAUAAGCCUGGGAAACUGGGUCUAAUACCGGAUAUGACUCCACGACGCAUGUCGUGGGGUGGAAAGCCUUGUGCGGCUGGGGAUGGGCCCGCGGCCUAUCAGCUUGUUGGUGGGGUGAUGGCCACCAAGGCGACGACGGGUAGCCGGCCUGAGAGGGCGACCGGCCACACUGGGACUGAGACACGGCCCAGACUCCUACGGGAGGCAGCAGUGGGGAAUCUUGCGCAAUGGGCGAAAGCCUGACGCAGCGACGCCGCGUGAGGGAUGACGGCCUCGGUU
rnacentral:rRNA from 1 species